CAGAGUAUAGCUUAAAUUAAAGCGCCUUGCUUACACCAAGCUGAUGUUUAAUAAAUCUGAACUACUCUGAG
rnacentral:tRNA from 1 species